rnacentral:lncRNA from 1 species
GUUCAUAUCCUUUGACCAUUUUUCAAUUGGAGAAUGGCUUGAUUUUUUAUAAAUUAGAGUUAAUUCUCUAUAUAUUUUGGAAAUGAGACCUUUAUCAGAACCUUUGACUGUAAAAAUAUUUUCCCAGUUUAUUGCUUCCCUUCUAAUCUUGUCUGCAUUAGUUUUGUUUGUAAAAAAACUUUUCAGUUUGGUAGAGUCGAAAUUUUCUAUUUUGUGUUUAUUAAUGAUCUCUAGUUCUUCUUUGGUCAUAAAUUCCUUUCCCUUCCACAGGUCUGAGAGGUAAACUAUCCUGUGUUCCUCUAAUUUAUUAAUAAUUUCAUUCUUUAUGCCUAGGUCAUGAACCCAUUUUGACUUUAUCUUGGUGUACGGUGUUAAGUGUGGAUCAAUGCCUAGUUUCUGCCAUAUUAGUUUCCAAUUUUCCCAGCAAUUUUUGUCAAACAGGUUUGCUUGUAUCUCUACAGGUGGAAAAGGAUUCAGAUGGGUGCCAACGAGCUGUAUUCGCCUUGUCUAUCGCAGAGAGAUGGAGCAGACCCUUGAAACAAAGGAAAAGACCCAAGAAAUAUCGGAUGGUUCUGUUGCCGAUUGUGCUCACUAUUGAAAGAGCAUGGCAGUUAUGGCGUUUGACUCAUGGACAUUGAAAAUUGUUGGAUUUCAAAACCCUCAGGAAUCAUUGGAUUCUCUGAGACAUGGUAAGACUGUUGCAGGACUUGAAAACCCUCAGGAAUCAUUGGAUUCUCUGAGACAUAAGAUUGUUGUAGGACUUGAAAGCCCUCAGGAAUCAUUGGAUUUUCUGAGAAAUGAUAAGACUGUUACAGGACUUCAAAAUCUGCAGGAAUCAUUGGAUUCCCUAACACAUAAAAGGACUUUACAGGACUUCAAAAACUUGUGGGGAACAUUGGAUUCCCCUGACAUGUGAAGCAAUGGACAGUAGACUGGUUUUGGACUAUCUCUUGGCUGCUGAAGAAGGUGUAUGUGUGACUGUUGUUUACAUACCCUCCUUCUAGGACUUCUGGCAAUCUUUUACAACACCCAUGUUGAUUUAUUUUGUUUGUUCUACCUCUACUUGUGUGUACAAUUCAUGUUUGUUACAUCACAUAGAGCCUGCACUGACUGUGGGGAGAGUCAUCACUAAUAGCCUCUGCAUUAUUGCUAUGUGCUUGUGUAAUACCUCCCAUGCUGAUGGGUUUGUGCAUAAUAAGACCCUCCAGCCCAGAAACCCGCUAGCAACCCCCACUUCCCUUUAGUGCUUUUCAUCUCCCUUCCUGAGAUGUCAGGGAGGGUGUGAUCAUCUCCCCUUGGGGGCUCUGACCUCCCUGAGAAGUCAGGGAUGGCAUGACCACCUGUGUUCUAAAACAAAAGAAAGCAGGAGAUGUAAUGGGCUGAAGCUCGAGUUGAUGCACUGAGGUCCCAAGCAUGUGAGGCCAAAUAGUAAUUGGACCAUACUCUAUUAAUAUAUAUAUACUUGGAGAAAGAAUGGCCCCUGCCCACUCUUUGUGCAAGUCCUGAUAUGUUUUAUAGGAAAUGACAU